UGCCACUUGGCAAAAAUCAGGCUGCUCAAAGCAGGAGCUAGUAGCAAUGUCGAACGUUCUUGAAGCCAAUAAGGAU
rnacentral:sRNA from 1 species